AGUACAUCUUAAGACGACCCUCCAGGCUAUUGCCGUACGGGUCACCCUGCACAGACCAAUCACGAUCUGCUCAGUUUACAUCCCACCAACUUACCCCCUCAAAAUAACCCAACCAAAUGACUUAAAAUCUCAGCUCCCAAAACCUUUUAUUUUGCUAGGUGAUUUCAAUGCCCACAGCCCCCUUUGGGGAGACAAACCUACAGACCAGAAAGGAAAAA